UCAGUUUUGAGAACAAGAGGACACAGGUGGUUAGAUGCUGUGCCUGGCUCUGGUCCUUGUCAUGGAGCUGUAACAGUAUGGCUCAGUGUACAUAAGCUGCUCCGUGGAGUAAAAAGCCAAAGAGUGAAGACUCUGAAAAAGUCUGAAAAGUCGUCGAUCCAAAGUGUCUUGAAUUGGAAAGGUGAAAGCCCGGGAUGGCGACAGUCCCCACCGAUAUUAGGAGACUUUUGGAUGACUGCGAGCUGUUUGUGACCGAGCUCCUCGAAGAUGAGGACCUCAGUGAAAGUGCCCAAGAGGCACGUCAAAUCCUGCUGGGUAACUUCAGAUUCGUCCAUGAAAGGAACCCUCAAGAAUUCCCCCUUGCAAUGGACUAUCGGGAAGAAGAUGGUUCUGAUGACAACCGCAGUUUCGAUUUGGGUCGCUUUGCCCAAUCAGAUGACGCCUCAUUAGCCUCUGACAACCAAGAUGAUGGAGCCCCAGAGUACUUCGAUGACAUUCCCUUUGUGGCACCCCAGGAUGUCAAGAAAGUCUUGAAGACAGGCUACUUGGAGAAGAAACGAAAAGAUCACAGCUUCUUUGGCUCAGAGUGGCAAAAGAGGUGGUGUGUUCUCAACGAUCUAAUAUUCUACUACUUUGGCAGUGAAAAAGAUAAACACCAGAAGGGCUCUUUUUAUAUCAGUGACUACGACGUGCAGCUGGUGACCAACCUGAGAAAAGACUCCAAGAAAAAUUCCUGCUUUGAGUUCUUUGCCCCCGGACGGCGUUCUUUCCAGUUUGCUGCCAGCAGUCCUGAAAAGGCCAAAGAAUGGGUGGACCAGAUCAAGAUUAUACUCCGAGAUCUCAGCUCCGACAUCAUCCCUGUGGACGAUGAAGAGGAGGAGGAGGAAGAGGGGGAGGAUGAGGAGACCUACGAUGACAUUGAGGGCGCUCCCCUGCCUCGGCCCGGUGCUGGCCCGGCCUCUCAGAGUGGCAGGUGGGGAGCAGGGCAGGAGACGAGGACCGCCGAUGAGGACGAGGAGGAUAUCUACGAGGUGCUGCCAGAUGAGGAUUUUCCAGAUCCAGUGGAUGAGAGUGAGGAGAGGACCAACAAACAAGUUUGUUCAUCAGAUUAUGCAAACUACUACCAGGGGUUAUGGGACUGCCUGCCCGACGAGCCAGACGAGCUGGCCUUCCAGAGAGGAGAUCUCAUCUACAUCAUUAGCAAGGAGUACAACAUUCACGGCUGGUGGGUCGGCGAGCUCAACGGCACUGUGGGUAUCGUCCCAAAGGACUUCCUGGUCCCCGCCUACAUCCUCUGAGCUCCAACAGAUUGCCAUUGAGGUAUAUUCAGUCGUUGACCUGCCAUUUAUGGCAUCUGCUGGCUGGAAGAAGUACUGCAUAAAGCAGUCUGAGCGGUGCAGUGGGCAAAUGGCGCUGCUGCUGCUGACGACGCAUCCGGCUGUGAUUUUCAAACACAGCACUGUCACAUAAUCUCUCUGAUUAUUCUGUAAAUGAUACCAUGUAAACCUGCUGCAGCACUUCUUGUCCCCGUUCAGUGAACCACCUGGAAACCCAAACCAGAGCAAAAGCAACUCCAGUCAGAUGAUAGACUAAAUUAAGCUACAGCAAUUUUGAUAAUCUGAUAAUUGUUUAAGUCAUUUCUUAAGUCAAACAAAAGUGUGUGAAAUAUGAGAAUGUGCUGCUUCUCUAUAAAUUGAAUAUGUUUCGGUUUUUGACUGAAAAAAAAAAUGGUUCACUGUGGCCUCUGGUAAAUCGUGACAGGAAAUUUUUAACUUUGGACACUUUUUAAUUUUUCAUAGAUCAAACAAUGAAUUGUUUAAUCAGAAGAAUAACAGAACGACCACUAAUGAAAAUGACUGCAGCAAAUAGUAAAUUAUUGUGGACUCAUUCAUCAGUUCACUGCUUAAAAUGAGCAAGAGGCCAAUUGUUCUCCCUUCAUCCUCAGCAUGAAUUUAAAACUCAGCAGAUGUAUUGUACAAAUUGUAAAAUAUUCUGAAACUGCAUAUAAUAUCAGCUACAAUAGCAGCUGCCUGUACUGCUCGUGUCCGAUCCGUCAGU